CUUUGGGGUAUGUACGGGUCUGAAGCUUAAUUUAAUUAAUUUAAUCUAGUGUAUUUUAAAACAUGAAGGAAACAAAAGCUUCCUGUGCAUUACUUUUUUAGUUCAUUGUUAAUCAAUUUUUGUCUGCCAAAUUAUGGUAAUUGAUAAAUAAAAAGGGUUGUUCUUCCUGCCUCCUACCUUGAUGGAUCAUUUGAAACCUGAAUCCUUGGAAGAGAUGUCACUUCUUCAGUUCCGAGUGACCAGGGUGUGGAUGCUAGGCGGACAAGAUACUAAGAAAACUCACAAAUAAAGCUCAAUUUGGCCUUUCCAUCAAAAGACGAAGAAGACGACCUUGAAAACUCUGUUCACUCCAGGAAAUCUCACAAAGCUCAAUUUGACCUAUCCAUCAAAAGACGAAGAAGACAACCUUGAAAACUCUGUUCACGACCAGACACGGGUGUCGUGCAGUCGUGAGACCUCUGGCGGAGGGAGCUCCUGAGCGGUGCAGUGGUUUGUUUACAAACAAGAGGGGUCCCCGUGAUCAAGUACUGCCGAAACCCACCGAGGUACAGUUCAACAUGCGUCUGCUCGCAGCCUUACCUUUGGUUCACAUUCAGGAACUCUACGCCUAUUCAGGCAUUUAUUUUAUGAGAAUUGAAUAAAUAUAUUUGUCUGGGAUUUCUUGUUAUAUUUUUAUAUGAAAAGUUAUGAUAAUGAUAAUAGUAAUAGAUAGAAAAGGAGUAUGAAGAUAUAAAUAUAAUAACUGUUUUAGCCAUUUCAAAUUCAAUCUACCUAAUAUAAUCUGUAAAUAUUGCCCUUGGUAUUGCUUUGACAAUUUGCUUUGGUACAUGAAAAUAUUUGAAAGUGAAAUGGUUCAAAAGCUUUGCAAACGUACCUUGUAUUAAAAAACGAUAGUAUUUGAGUACUUAAAAAUCUAAAGUCUGCUGCAAGGCUAUAGGUGAACCAAAUGAUUUCCAUAAACACACAUAAAGUGUAAUUACAAACCAGCUUUUUGAAGUUUAAUUUUGUUUCUAAAUUUUUCCAUGUCAUGAUAUUUUCAGUGUACUUUAGAACAAAUUUGCCCAUCCUCCGGAAUAUCAUUUUCUCACUUUUCAUAAUGUAGUUAAUUGCUUUUUUAUAGAACGUUCUUUUGCUACCGCCAAUUUGACUAUCUAAAUACUUGUAUAUAUAAUACAAUUACAAAUCUGAAUAAAAUGAUCAAGUGAAAAA